rnacentral:rRNA from 1 species
AUUGAACGCUGGCGGCAGGCCUAACACAUGCAAGUCGAACGAGUGGCGGACGGGUGAGUAAUGUCUGGGAAACUGCCUGCUGGAGGGGGAUAACUACUGGAAACGGUAGCUAAUACCGCAUACCAUCGGAUGUCCCCAGAUGGGAUUAGCUAGUAGGUGGGGUAACGGCUCACCUAGGCGAAGAUCCCUAGCUGGUCUGAGAGGAUGACAAGCCACCCUGGAACUGAGACACGGUCCAGACGCCUACGUGAGGCAGCAGUGGGGAAUAUUGCACGAUGGGCGCAAGCCUGAUGCAGCCAUGCCGCGUGUAUGAAGAAGGCCUUCGGGUUGUAAAGUACUUUCAGCGGGGAGGCGUUACCCGCAGAAGAAGCACCGGCUAACUCCGUGCCAGCCGCCGCGGUAAUUC